AGGAGAGUUUGAUCAUGGCUCAGAACGAACGCUGGCGGCAGGCCUAACACAUGCAAGUCGAGCGCGCCCUUCGGGGUGAGCGGCGGACGGGUUAGUAACGCGUGGGAACGUGCCCAGAUCUAAGGAAUAGCCACUGGAAACGGUGAGUAAUACCUUAUACGCCCUUCGGGGGAAAGAUUUAUCGGAUUUGGAUCGGCCCGCGUUAGAUUAGGUAGUUGGUGGGGUAAUGGCCUACCAAGCCUACGAUCUAUAGCUGGUUUUAGAGGAUGAUCAGCAACACUGGGACUGAGACACGGCCCAGACUCCUACGGGAGGCAGCAGUGGGGAAUCUUGGACAAUGGGGGCAACCCUGAUCCAGCCAUGCCGCGUGAGUGAUGAAGGCCUUAGGGUCGUAAAGCUCUUUCGCCUGUGAUGAUAAUGACAGUAGCAGGUAAAGAAACCCCGGCUAACUCCGUGCCAGCAGCCGCGGUAAUACGGAGGGGGUUAGCGUUGUUCGGAAUUACUGGGCGUAAAGCGCGCGUAGGCGGAUUAGUCAGUUAGAGGUGAAAUCCCAGGGCUCAACCCUGGAACUGCCUUUAAUACUGCUAGUCUUGAGUUCGAGAGAGGUGAGUGGAAUUCCGAGUGUAGAGGUGAAAUUCGUAGAUAUUCGGAGGAACACCAGUGGCGAAGGCGGCUCACUGGCUCGAUACUGACGCUGAGGUGCGAAAGUGUGGGGAGCAAACAGGAUUAGAUACCCUGGUAGUCCACACCGUAAACGAUGAAUGCCAGUCGUC
rnacentral:rRNA from 1 species